CGCGUAGGCGGGUAUCCAAGUCCGUGGUGAAAUCCGGCAGCUUAACUGUCGAACUGCCGCGGAUACUGGGUAUCUCGAGGGAGGUAGGGGCGUGCGGAACUAUUGGUGGAGCGGUGAAAUGCGUUGAUAUCAAUAGGAACUCCGGUGGCGAAGGCGGCACGCUGGACCUCUUCUGACGCUGAGGCGCGAAAGCCAGGGGAGCAAACGGGAUUAGAUACCCCGGUAGUCCUGGCCCUAAACGUUGGGUACUAGAUAGUAGUCUUCACAUGGGAUUACUGUCGAAGCAAAAGUGCUAAGUACCCCGCCUGGGGAGUAUGGUCGCAAGGCUGAA
rnacentral:rRNA from 1 species